CGGCGGACACGGAGCCCGGGGUUCCUGCGGCCCCAGCGGGCUGCCCCUCCACGGGGCCAUGGCCCCCUUCCCCGCCUGCCUCAACUCGGCCGUGCUGGUGCUGUUCAGCUGCGACCUCUGGCUGGUGCGAGCAAGGUGAAAUACGCCACAUGCAGAUGGCCUGCACCAGGUCCCUGCAUCACUGAAGUCCCAGCGAGCCCCUACUAUAGGCCGCCGUCCCCAGUCAAUGUGACUGUUACGCACCUGAAGGCAAACUCCGCCACUGUCUCAUGGGAUGUCCCGGAGGGAGACAUCAUCAUUGGCUAUGCCAUCUCACAGCAGCGGCAGGACGGGCAAAUGCAGCGGUUCAUCCGGGAGGUGAACACCACGAACCGGGCCUGCGUGCUGUGGGACCUGGCAGAGGACGCAGACUACAUCAUCCAGGUGCAGAGCAUCGGCCUGCAUGGAGAGAGCCAGGCCAGCAAGAGAGUCCAUUUCCGGACCCUGAAAGAGACUGAUCGCCUCCCCUCCAACAGCUCCAACCAAGGUGACAUCACCAUGGAAGGGCUGGACAAGGAGCGGCAGCUCCAGACGGGGGAGAUUGUCAUCAUCGUGACUGUGCUGCUCAUGUGGGCAGCAGUGAUCGCGCUCUUCUGCAGACAGUAUGACAUUAUCAAGGACAAUGACUCCAACAACAACAAGGAAAAGACCAAGCCGUCCUCAGAGCACAGCACGCUGGAGCGACCCACGGGGGGGCUACUGUACAGUAAGAAAAAGUCUCUGUCUGUCAAUAUCAUUGAGGUGUGAGUACAGUCCAGUUCUGGAUUUGGGAAUGCUGCCAGACCCGAGGAAGAUCAUGGGAUAAAAGGACAACAGCAGGCUGCCAGCCUGCAGCCCUCAGAAUGCAAAGAAUUGUUUAUCAGAAAUUAUGCUUCUUCCAAGGCCUUCUCCCCUCAAGGGGAUCUGCAUGGAGACCGUUUGGAUGAUGCAUGCAGAACUCAGCCUCACACCCAUCAUAUAACCACCCACGGGCCACUCAGGAGUCCAUCGGGGGCCUGGAACAGCACCAAAAGAACAAACAGCAAUAUUCAGAUUUCAAGGGAUGGGGGAGCCUCCUGCUGAUGCAGGAAUAAUGUCGUGGAAGUGGGAUCUCAUGGCCCUGUCACCCAGCAACUGUUAGUCCCAGAGAAGUGCCCACUUUCCAGUCCCCUAAUCCUGCAAGCCCAGACUGUGGGGUUCACAGAGGUGAAGCAGGUGCUAGCUCAGGAAGGGCUGGCAAGAGAACUGAUCGGAGCUGGAGAGGUUUCCUCAGCAUUCCCCAAAGUUUGGAGUCUGAAUUGGAGGACGGCCUCAUGCGCCCUGCAGAUGUGACCAGAGAUGGAAUCCCAGCUCAAGGAGGCAGGAAGUUGCCUGGGUCACUGAGCUGACUUCAGCUGCUGGCAGUUCAAUGAGCUUCCAUCCCUUCCCUUAGUGUGAGUGAGGCCACCCCAGGGAGGUGAGGCCCUCAGACCAGGAAGUGCCAACACUGCCUCAUGCUGUGCCCGACAAACAGCGAAGCAGGGCCUUGCUGCAGAGACAGCGGGAUGCAGGGGAGAGUUCUCGCUAUCACAUCUCACGCCUGCCCAGUUCGCAGGGUAGCAGGGAUGUACUCAGUGCCCAUAAAAAUAUAUCCCCUGCUAACGGCAUUGCCUGGGAGGUCUCCAGGUCAUGGUUCAGCUCUGGGUGUGGGAGGGAAAUCUACCAUAUGCAGCUCUGAGUCCUCUCCUCCUCUGGCUCCUGCGGAGGCUUCCAGCAUGCUGAAGCUCUGUUCCAGCAGCCCUGGUGCAGGCCACAUGGAGCCACAGUCUGGACCACUGGGAAACAUCCCCAGGCCACAGAGUAAUGUCUGUGGUGGGGGAAAGAAUAUCAUGCUGAAUCUCCAUGCCGCUGGGGGCAAAGGCCACAAUGCAAACUGUCUGUGGCCCAUAUGCCUCUGCCCAUCAGGCAGAGGCCUCAGCUCAGGGUUCUGCCUGAGCCCCCUCUCUGCCAAGGCCUCGCCAUAGGGCCUGCCCCAGCUCUAUCCUACUGCUCUUGCCUGUUUUUAAGCCUGGCAUUGAAGGCCUCACAGCAGGCCCUGCCCCAAUCGCAGUAUAGUUUUAUGUUGGGUCUCUAUGGCUUGUGUGAGGGGAUAGUUCCUUUACACGCCAGUGCAUGGCCUAGAAGGGAUUGGUCUCCAGCCAUAGGGAGAUAUUGCUGCUGGAGAGAGGCUAUCCCAGGGCUUCCCAGACACAGCACCUGCUCUAUGGAGGAGGCAGUGGUGUCAAGAGUCUGUGCAGGGAGCCAUUCCCCCUAGGAAAUGUGCUACUCCAGCCCACCCUCGUCACAUCAUCAGCCCUGAACCUGGGCAGAAUUCUCCCUCCCUACCCAUGGCUGGCAUGGCAACCUUUUGCAGCUUCCUGUGCCCUCCAAUGACUGCCUCGGACACUGCCAUGGCAGUUUCCAGCAAUGCACUCCUGGGGUGGGUAGCAGGCCAUCUGGGAUCCAGGGGUUAAAUACAUCUGCCAACAGGGGCCUAGUGGGCAGGAUUCUAAGUUCUAUAGUGUCCAUUAUGUCACAACCCCACCCGAGUGCUCACAAACCCAGGCUUAGCAGGUCUUUAUAGCUUGAAUCCUUGCCUGUGCCCCAGUGUCACAUAGGGGAGACACUUCCAGUCCAGUGGGGUUAUAGUCCCCCACGGCUCAGUGGCUGCAGCUGUUACUCCUUCCCCCCAAAGCGGGCAGCAUCCCCUGGCCCAGGUUCCCAUGGGAGUGUGGUGCUUAUUCCCCUAGGACCUUCUCCUGGAAAGGAGCUGACCCAAGCAACUCAGAAACACCAAUGAAAGCCACCAAGUUCUUGUACUAUAUGGACAAAACAGUUUGUCCAGCAGAGUGUCUGCACUGCUCACUGCCCAUCAGCCAGGGAGGGAUUCAUGGCAGAGGAGUACCCAGGAGUGAUUAAAGCUGAACACCUGUUAGCACCCAAACCCCAGGGUCUAUGUGGCAUCACCGUGGACUGAAUUUCUGUCAUUUGGAACCAGCAUUGCUCCUAGCCAAAUGGCGGAGGCCAAGCUAACCCCAGCCCCUCUCCCCCACAUGUACCUUCCUCCAUCAGAAGAGAAAAGAACGGGCCUCCACUGGAGGAAUGACAGGUUUGUAGCCUGCUCCCCCGGGGCAGGAUGCUGUCUGUGCAGCCCCAGGAUUGAUGAGAAUCACAGGAUCCAGCGUCUUCCAGGAACUUAAUCUUCAAGCAAAGCAAUUUCAGACUCUUCCCUCCAGGUGCUGCUCAGCUCCUGCCAUGGGAAUACCAGGGGCAGGGCAAGUGACUCCCUGCAGCAGGAUCUUUUCAAUAAAAGUCUCUGGCUCAAGGGCAGAAGGGUCACUGUGGUGGCUACUCCUGUGUGUGUACAGGGCUUGAGAGCCAGCUGCUAAGGCUGAGGGACAGACCCACUAGCACAGGCUGGGAUGCUGCUGGAGGGCUGAGAAGGGGGAACAGAGGAGACAGAUUUUGAUGCAGGGCAGUAACUAUGGCAAAAUGGGGGACAGCAGGGGUUGUGUUGGAGCUGAGGGAUGAGAGUCCCAUUGGCUCUGCUCCUGGGUUUUUCUUCAGCUCCCCAGUUGCUGGCUCCUGAAAGAAGAAAGACCUCCCCUGCCCCAGGAGCUAGGGAGCCUCAUGCUCCCACCAGCCACCUUCGGCACAGACCUGUUCCUGGGGGCAGGGCAGUUCCAGAGACAGUAUACUUCUCCCCUUGGGGAGCAGGCCCUCCAUCAUCUGUCCAUGCCCACCAAGGAGAUGGCCUCUCUGCUUCUCUCCACACAACAUGGGCAGUGACCAGGACUGCUGCCUGGGGGUCUCUGUUGAUGGCUGGAGCCCAGUGACAAUGCUGUUCCUGGCUGAGUCACAUAUAGAGAGGGGAUCUCUCUUACCCCCCACCCCCUGUUGCAUGCACGGUCACUCACAUGCAUGCACAAGAAGCUGGCAGCCCACUCUCUGCUGUUCUGUGUUAUUUGCCAGAUCAAAGGGUGCUGGUGAUUCCUAGCUAGCAUAGCACUUGCUAUCCCAUCCUAUUCCCUUGCACAGGAUAUCCCUACUGGAAGCUGCUGCCAGAUUUGUACCAGGAGUCCCUAUUGGGGAAGGUGAUUCACCCAUGGCCCCCCUUCCCCUAAUAGUCCCACUGCUCUACAGGGCCUUGUAGUGGGAGAAUUAGCCCUCCAUCUUUGCAGCUCCAUGGCACUGGUUGGGGCUGCCAGACCACCUGCACUAGGUAGAACAGUUUGACAGAGAAAUGGGGCUGGUGGUUAAAGAGGGAACAGCAAAGGCCUCGUUCACUCCCAGGAUGGAGUUUCAGAAAUGGCUGCAAGAGACACAAGAUGCAGGAUCCAGAGCACAAAGAAGUGAAACCUGCGCAGGCUGUUCUCCUGGGCCAGGGGCACGGCUGCCCCCAUCUGGGUGUUGGGAAGGGAAUGCUGAAGGAGACACCAGGUGGCAGAGGGGAUGGAAGGGCUUAGGAUCUCCUGCUGGGACAAAGAGGCAUGCACACCAGGUUAUACCAAGUGCAAGCAGAGGGAGGGGGCAUUAGCCAGUGUUCCUAAAGGGACCUCACUUAACGAGACAAGUGUAGGGGUGGACUGUGGACAUCCCACUGCCCCCAGAAGCCCCUGCUGGUAGGGAUCACUUGCUCCCAUGCUAUCUGGGACUAGGCAGUUUGAUCCAGGCUUAUGGCCUUUGCUUUCACAGUCAUGGAGCUGGGGUGGAUAGAUCACACAGAAGAGGUAUGGGGACCUGCCACUCCUUAGCAUCACCUCAGAGAGCUGGUGCCUAGUGGUAUGGUUGAGGGCAGGGACUUUCUGCUGCUUUAUUCUCCUUGAUUGUCUUCAUCCCAGGGUGACGUGUCAUAGUCUACUGAAGGUAUCACCAUCCCUCAGGCAGCAAGGGAGAGAGCUUCCUGACAAGGGGCAGGGCUGAAGUUUUAAAAACCAAACCAAGCGGGUAGCAAGGGCCACGAAGAGCCACUGGCCUGCUUCCUCAGUAACCUUUCUCCUCUCAAACUCAGAGGGACCUGGGAAAUCUAUGCCAGAGUCCACAAGGGCAGAGUCAAUUUUACAAUGUUAAAAAACUCAUUUUAUCGCACUCUACCAAGGUGGCAUUUUCAUUUAAAAACCAGUUAUUUCACCACAUGACAGUGAGAGGCUGUAGUAAAGGGUGUGGGGGGUGCAGGUGUCAGAUCUGUGGGGACCUCCAUUCCACAGACACAAGGGGAGCAAGGAGACCCCAUGGUUUUGUGCCUUCUCUGGGCUACAAGCAAUGGGUUCUCUGGGACUACCAGCAAAGGGGUGCGACACCUACAUAGGAGAGAAUAACCCCCUUCCUCCACUGACUGAAUCUGUGGGCAGCAUCCUCUGGCCUGGCUAGGUUAGAUCAAAUGCUCAGCAUGCUCCCUCCUGGCCUUAAAUCUAGGACUCCCCAAAGAAGCAGGAAUCUGCUGACCCUUAUCCCAAGGAGAGAGGCAGUAAGGACAGAGGGCUUGCAGGGGGCAUCAUCCACACAGUCCUUCAGUUCACACUUCCAUGCUUCAGCUACAGGGAUGGGAAAGACCGGAGCUAUGGGUCUCUUCUACACAGAGCAAACAGCAAACAAGAAAAUGUGUGAGCCAGAGAAAACUGAACAAUGCUCUGGUCUCAGCUAAGCGUGCGCUCUCAGGCACACUAACAGCAGUGAGCCCCACCACACACACAGUAUGCCUGGGAGCGCAUGCCCAGCUAACAGUGGGGAGCACCCAUGUGCAUGGGGCAGUCAUGUUCAGGAACACAACAUGGAACACAACUGCCCUGCACAUGCCAGGUGCCGAGUGGUGCUCAGCACAGUUUGCUGGCUAACGCAUUUUCUAGCAUGCUGCAUUUACCCAACAUGGAUGAGGCCAAAAACCUGACACAGCUGUGCCCCGGAACCAGACAGCAGAGGAGGGAAAGGCCUGAGGUGCUAGCCCAGUCAGCAGCACACUUGGUCACGGGGUUGAGCCCAGCCAGUGCAAUAGGGAGCACAAGGAGCUGUUCUGGGGCCCACAGGUCUGGGUAGCCCCAUCCCACCAGUUCCAGUUGACCAUUACUGGCACCCUCCAUGGAUAGGCUGAAGAGUAGGCAGGCCAUGGAUGCUGCACUCCCUUUCAACCUCUAGAGGAAGUACCUGCAGGGCUGGGUGGUGGCACAGAGCAGACCAGUGGGUGUGGGAAGCCAGCCCUGCCACUGUCUGGGCUGAGCCUAAUUGG